rnacentral:tRNA from 1 species
AGCUUUAUAUUCAAUAUUGAUUUUAAAUUGCAAAUUUAAAGGUGAAUUAAAUUCUAAGGCUU